UACGUAGGGGGCUAGCGUUGUCCGGAAUCAUUGGGCGUAAAGAGCGUGUAGGCGGUCCGGUAAGUCCGCUGUGAAAGUCGGGGGCUCAACCCGUCGGAUGCCGGUGGAUACUGUCGGGCUUGAGUACGGAAGAGGCGAGUGGAAUUCCUGGUGUAGCGGUGAAAUGCGCAGAUAUCAGGAGGAACACCAAUUGCGAAGGCAGCUCGGCUGGGACGGUUACUGACGCUGAGACGCGAAAGCGUGGGGAGCAAACAGG
rnacentral:rRNA from 1 species